rnacentral:rRNA from 1 species
UACGGGGGGGGCAAGCGUUGUCCGGAAUUACUGGGCGUAAAGGGCUCGUAGGCGGCCAACUAAGUCAGACGUGAAAUCCCUCGGCUUAACCGGGGAACUGCGUCUGAUACUGGAUGGCUUGAGUUUGGGAGAGGGAUGCGGAAUUCCAGGUGUAGCGGUGAAAUGCGUAGAUAUCUGGAGGAACACCGGUGGCGAAGGCGGCAUCCUGGACCAACACUGACGCUCAUGCACGAAAGCGUGGGGAGCAAACAGG